rnacentral:rRNA from 1 species
CCUACGGGAGGCAGCAGUGGGGAAUCUUGCGCAAUGGGCGAAAGCCUGACGCAGCCAUGCCGCGUGAAUGAUGAAGGUCUUAGGAUUGUAAAAUUCUUUCACCGGGGACGAUAAUGACGGUACCCGGAGAAGAAGCCCCGGCUAACUUCGUGCCAGCAGCCGCGGUAAUACGAAGGGGGCUAGCGUUGCUCGGAAUUACUGGGCGUAAAGGGAGCGUAGGCGGAUAGUUUAGUCAGAGGUGAAAGCCCAGGGCUCAACCUUGGAAUUGCCUUUGAUACUGGCUAUCUUGAGUACGGAAGAGGUAUGUGGAACUCCGAGUGUAGAGGUGAAAUUCGUAGAUAUUCGGAAGAACACCAGUGGCGAAGGCGACAUACUGGUCCGUUACUGACGCUGAGGCUCGAAAGCGUGGGGAGCAAACAGGAUUAGAUACCCUGGUAGUCCACGCUGUAAACGAUGAGUGCUAGUUGUCGGCAUGCANNCAUGUCGGUCGCGCGAGACGUACGAC